CUCGGCUGUGGCUCACAGCACAGGUACACAACGGUCCUAAGCCACGCCUCGGCUGUGGCUCACAGCACAGGUACACAACGGUCCUAAGCCACGCCUCGGCUGUGGCUCACAGCACAGGUACUCAACGGUCCUAAGCCACGCCUCGGCUCUGGCUCACAGCACAGGUACACAACGGUCCUAAGCCACGCCUCGGCUGUGGCUCACAGCACAGGUACACAACGGUCCUAAGCCACGCCUCGGCUAUGGCUCACAGCACAGGUACACAACGGUCCUAAGCCACGCCUCGGCUGUGGCUCACAGCACAGUCACACUGUGGCUCACAACACAGUCACACUGCAUGCGAUGUUCUAUCUCCAGCAUGCAACAAUAAAAAAAGUGAGCCACAACAUGAAAUGUCAUGGACACAGUACUUCCAAUUGCUACGUCAUUACCUUUGUUUUUACCUCACAACCAGUGAUCUAAAGUUGAAAUAAUAUUUUACACAUUGUAUUGAAAAUGAUAUGAACGAGAUAGCAACAAAAAGCAAACUGUAGAUGAAAACAAAACGUCCACUCACCAUUAUGAUUAUCAUUUCAAAACCAAGUCCAUUCUCCUGUCCUUCUUAAUGAAAUGGGCAGGUUCAUAUAGCUUGUCUUUUGAUUUAAAAUCCCAAAGAAGUUCUUUUUUGAUUGAGAUCAAAGCCAGGGCUGACAGUCGGGCCUGUCCAGUGGUGUUCCUGGAAUAUGUUCUUUCUACUGAUGUAGGGGACAAUGGAAUGAUCAAAACUAGACAGGUAAACAGAUACAAUUGGUGCAUACAAUCAAUUAGUCUCUUUUGCUGGAGAAAGUGGAGCAGAUCAGCCAGGCUCUUACCCUUGAAGUUAGACAUUGAGUACAUAACUACAUAACGGUGAGUUCUGUUUUAAGCCGCGGCAAAUCAAAGAUUUAAGAUUUAGAUGCACUAUUGUAAAGUGACUGUUCCACUGGAUGUCAUAAGUUGAAUGCACCAAUUUGUAAGUCGCUCUGGAUAAGAGCGUCUGCUAAAUGACUUAAAUGUAAAUGUAAAUGUAAAAUGAGGGCCAUAACUUUCCUCGAGACUUGAGAACACAGAGUUUGGAAAGUUUGGCGUUUCCCUAUAUAUUGGGAACAUUUGUGGGUCAAGGAGGGCAAAGAACAUGAGCCUUUCAUGGUCAUUGAGCCUGUUUCUUAGCUGAGUGACAAUGUUGUUGAUGAUCAUACUGUGUAGCUGUUGGUACUGGCCGUGAACGUCUCCUUGCAUAUGUGUCCUGCGCCCCGUUGGUACUCCGGUCUCACUCAGUGUCCUCGUAGAUGGAAUCAGACUUUCCCUUUUCCCCUCUCUGUGUUGUUGCAGAGGUCCUGCGCCCCCUUGGUACUCCGGGCUCACUCACAGUGUCCUCGUAGAUGGAUUCUGACUUUCCCUUUUCCCCUCUCUGUGUUGUUGCAGAGGUCCUGCGCCCCCUUGGUACUCCGGUCUCACUCACAGUGUCCUCGUAGAUGGAAUCUGACUUUCCCUUUUCCCCUCUCUGUGUUGUUGCAGAGGUCCUGCGCCCCCUUGGUACUCCGGUCUCACUCACAGUGUCCUCGUAGAUGGAAUCAGACUUUCCCUUUUCCCCUCUCUGUGUUGUUGCAGAGGUCCUGCGCCCCCUUGGUACUCCGGUCUCACUCACAGUGUCCUCGUAGAUGGAAUCAGACUUUCCCUUUUCCCCUCUCUGUGUUGUUGCAGAGGUCCUGCGCCCCCUUGGUACUCCGGUCUCACUCACAGUGUCCUCGUAGAUGGAAUCAGACUUUCCCUUUUCCCCUCUCUGUGUUGUUGCAGAGGUCCUGCGCCCCCUUGGUACUCCGGUCUCACUCACAGUGUCCUCGUAGAUGGAAUCAGACUUUCCCUUUUCCCCUCUCUGUGUUGUUGCAGAGGUCCUGCGCCCCCUUGGUACUCCGGUCUCACUCACAGUGUCCUCGUAGAUGGAAUCAGACUUUCCCUUUUCCCCUCUCUGUGUUGUUGCAGAGGUCCUGCGCCCCCUUGGUACUCCGGUCUCACUCACAGUGUCCUCGUAGAUGGAAUCUGACUUUCCCUUUUCCCCUCUCUGUGUUGUUGCAGAGGUUGUGUGUCAAAGUGCUGACUUUGUCAAACAGGCAAAAUCUUUGAAACCAGUUAUUAUCGGUAUUGAAGAGUAGGCAAUUCCAACUGUAAAGCUUUUUUUGUCAGCUCACAGCUGGUAAUCCAUGGAUAACACUCAUAAUUAUUAACUUGAAAAUACCUUUUAAAACUCUUUCCUCGUUGCACCAAAUCAGGCAGUGCAGAAGUUGGUCUAUCGGUCUGUAGAAGAUUGAACUGUUCAUUAAAAGUUAGUCUUGAAAAGGGCGAUGCUAACAAUUUAGCCACCACAUAGUCCUCGAUUACUCUCUCUGCAGUUGCCAUCGUUACAUACACUCACUGCAAAAAGUUAGCCAACUAGCUAGGCUCAAGCGUGAGAAAACAAAAUAAGGCUCUGAAUUAGUGACGUAUAAUUAGGCUCUCUAAAGAGCCUUGAAGAAUCGUUAAAUUGUCCCACCUAUUACAAGACAAUUUGUGAUUGGUUGAAUCUACUGUCAUUCCAAAAUGCUGCUUUAAUUGAAGUCAAUGUCAAUGACGUUGGCUGGUGCCUUCUAGUCAAAGCCCGAGGGCCUAGCCAAUAAGCAUUGAGCCCAGCUAGAUUAUUUCUACCAAGAGACUACCAAAGAAGAAUUCUGAUUGGAUAUGUUUUUCUCUUGGAUAUUAACCCUUCUUUUUCCAAAACAAUAGGAAUAUCAUUACAAUUAAGACAAAAAAAUAUUUCAUCAAUGAAAACACAAUUACAGAUUAUAUUAAUAUAAAAAUAUAUACAGAUUUGUAUCUAUCCUUAGGCCCUCUCUGAAGGCGUAGAGGGCCCUGGCGGUUCCCCAAUGUUCAAAUGAUAUGAGUGUAAAACAUUAUGAUGUAGAGAUUCAAACUGAUGGGCAUGCUGUGU